UAGGGAAUCUUCGGCAAUGGGGGGAACCCUGACCGAGCAACGCCGCGUGAGUGAAGAAGGUUUUCGGAUCGUAAAGCUCUGUUGUUAAGGAAGAACGAGUGUGAGAAUGGAAAGUUCAUACUGUGACGGUACUUAACCAGAAAGGGACGGCUAACUACGUGCCAGCAGCCGCGGUAAUACGUAGGUCCCGAGCGUUGUCCGGAUUUAUUGGGCGUAAAGCGAGCGCAGGCGGUUAGAUAAGUCUGAAGUUAAAGGCAGUGGCUCAACCAUUGUAGGCUUUGGAAACUGUUUAACUUGGGUGCAGAAGGGGAGAGUGGAAUUCCAUGUGGAGCGGUAAAAUGCGUAGAUAUAUGGAGGAACACCGGUGGCGAAAGCGGCUCUCUGGUCUGUAACAGACGCUGAGGCUCGAAAGCGUGGGGAGCGAACAGG
rnacentral:rRNA from 1 species